GAUGAACGCUAGCGGCAGGCCUAAUACAUGCAAGUCGAACGGGAUCAGGGAGCUUGCUCCCUGUGAUAGUGGCGCACGGGUGCGUAACACGUAUGCAACCUACCUUCAACUGGGGGAUAGCCUUCCGAAAGGAAGAUUAAUACCGCAUAACAUAAUUGAAUGGCAUCAUUUGAUUAUCAAACGUCAGGGUUGAAGAUGGGCAUGCGUCCGAUUAGCUAGUUGGUGUGGUAACGGCAAACCAAGGGGACGAUCGGUAGGGGAUCUGAGAGGAUGACACCCCACACUGGUACUGAGACACGGACCAGACUCCUACGGGAGGCAGCAGUAAGGAAUAUUGGUCAAUGGACGCAAGUCUGAACCAGCCAUGCCGCGUGCAGGAAGACGGUCCUCUGGAUUGUAAACUGCUUUUGUUAGAGAAGAAACCCUCGGAUGCGUCCGGGGCUGACGGUACCUAAAGAAUAAGGAUCGGCUAACUCCGUGCCAGCAGCCGCGGUAACAC
rnacentral:rRNA from 1 species